rnacentral:sRNA from 1 species
AUCACUCCCUCAUCCCUCCUGUUGCAGGACAUGGCCAGGGCUAGGAAGAAUGACGCUGUGCUUUUAUUGCCCCUCUUGGCAGAAAAGGACCUUGGCUCCUUCAGUGUUUGCCAACCCAGGGAGUCAGACCCCAGCCUCCAAUUCUUCUUCCUUUUAGCUCCCCAGCUCUGAUCCCCGGGCUCAGCGGAGUCCUACACCAGCCGUCCAUCAGACUCUGAUGUAUCUCUGGAGGAGGACCGGGAAGCCUUAAGGAAGGAAGCAGAGCGCCAGGCAUUAGCGCAGCUCGAGAAGGCCAAGACCAAGCCAGUGGCAUUUGCUGUGCGGACAAAUGUUGGCUACAAUCCGUCUCCAGGGGAUGAGGUGCCUGUGCAGGGAGUGGCCAUCACCUUCGAGCCCAAAGACUUCCUGCACAUCAAGGAGAAAUACAAUAAUGACUGGUGGAUCGGGCGGCUGGUGAAGGAGGGCUGUGAGGUUGGCUUCAUUCCCAGCCCCGUCAAACUGGACAGCCUUCGCCUGCUGCAGGAACAGAAGCUGCGCCAGAACCGCCUCAGCUCCAGCAAAUCAGGCGAUAACUCCAGUUCCAGUCUG